ACGGGGGGAGCAAGCGUUGUUCGGAAUCACUGGGCGUAAAGGGAGUCUAGGCGGUUUGGUAAGUGGGAUGUGAAAUCCCUCGGCUCACCCGAGGACCUGCAUCCCAUACUGCUGAGCUUGAGUACAGGAGAGGGUGGGGGAAUUCCUGGUGUAGCGGUGAAAUGCGUAGAUAUCAGGAGGAACACCGGUGGCGAAAGCGGCUUACUGGGCCUCUUCUGACGCUGAGAUACGAAAGCUAGGGGAGCGAACGGGA
rnacentral:rRNA from 1 species